GAUGAAGAACGCAGCGAAAUGCGAUAAGUAGUGUGAAUUGCAGAAUUCAGUGAAUCAUCGAAUCUUUGAACGCACAUUGCGCCCUUUGGUAUUCCAAAGGGCAUGCCUGUUCGAGCGUCAUUUGUACCCUCAAGCUUUGCUUGGUGUUGGGCGUCUUGUCUCUAGCUUUGCUGGAGACUCGCCUUAAAGUAAUUGGCAGCCGGCCUACUGGUUUCGGAGCGCAGCACAAGUCGCACUCUCUAUCAGCAAAGGUCUAGCAUCCAUUAAGCCUUAUUUUCAACUUUUGACCUCGGAUCAGGUAGGGAUACCCGCUGAACUUAAGCAUAUCAAUAAGCGGAGGA
rnacentral:misc_RNA from 1 species